rnacentral:rRNA from 1 species
GAUGAACGCUGGCGGCGUGCUUAACACAUGCAAGUCGAACGGAAAGGCCCAAGCUUGCUUGGGUACUCGAGUGGCGAACGGGUGAGUAACACGUGGGUGAUCUGCCCUGCACUUCGGGAUAAGCCUGGGAAACUGGGUCUAAUACCGGAUAGGACGAUGGUUUGGAUGCCAUUGUGGAAAGUUUUUUCGGUGUGGGAUGAGCUCGCGGCCUAUCAGCUUGUUGGUGGGGUAAUGGCCUACCAAGGCGUCGACGGGUAGCCGGCCUGAGAGGGUGUACGGCCACAUCGGGACUGAGAUACGGCCCAGACUCCUACGGGAGGCAGCAGUGGGGAAUAUUGCACAAUGGGCGCAAGCCUGAUGCAGCGACGCCGCGUGGGGGAUGACGGCCCUCGGGUUGUAAACUCCUUUCGCUAGGGACGAAGCGUUUUUGUGACGGUACCUGGAGAAGAAGCACCGGCUAACUACGUG